rnacentral:tRNA from 1 species
AUUUAAAUAGUUUAUAUAAAAUAUUGAUUUGUGGGAUCAAAGAAAUUGAAAAAUUUUAAAUA